ACAGCAGUUCACUGGCCUGAUGUGCCUGUUUGUGUUUGUGUUUGUUUAUGUGUGUGCUAGCCGAGAUAUCAGCUAUGACCUUGUUAGCCCUGCCCUUCUGUCUGCCACCUCCACAGACUGCGCAAGAGAUUAUGCCCAGCGCGGCUAAUCUAGAAUAAUCCACAGCCCAGGCAGCGAUGCUCUCAGCGCAGGGGAGCAUUCUGGCAAUGAGAGCAGCUUACUGAACGAUACCAAAACAGAGCAUCAGGAAGUCCCAUCGAGUCAAACUCCAAUGCAAAUCCCCCGUUGGGUGGAAUAAUAACAAGAGAAUCCAUUAAUAAUGAGAGAAUUGGGCAAUCAGAUUCCAGUGGGUGAAAUCACAUGUGCCUCAUAUGCUACAGAUUACGUCUGAGCAGAUGGAGAGAGAGCAACGUGCAUAGGAUGCUGAUUCUAAAAGUGAAGAAUGUGUGGGAAAGUGGUGUAUCAGCGUUUGAUUUCGGUCUAGGGCAAUUCUAUGCACACCAAUGAGAAGCAGGGUCAACCACUGUGUGAAAUACAUUACACUUAAUAAUAGUAAUGUCUAGAGAAGUGAAGUUGCAUUAUACAUAUGAAAUGUUUUUUCAAACUUUGGAGUCUGCAUCUAAAAGUAGAAAAUUGCUUGCAAUCAGACAAAUCUUGUGAGGUCCCCAAAUUAAAUUUUUUCUGGUCCCGUGCUUUGGAUUUGGUUUGGAGUCUGCACCUCUGGUAAUGGGCCUCACAUGUUACCGAUCCUGUGGCAGAACUCGAGUUCGACCCAUUGGCAGAUCUAAUACUGCAUGCUGGAACUAUACACACUUUUUGAGCUGCAUUAAGCGGGCCUAAUUGUACAUGUAAAUUCUGCAUUAAACUUUUAUUGAAAAGUAAGAAUACUGAUCAUCUAUUUCAGCAUACAUUAGAAAA